GAAAUAUUGCGCAAUGGACGAAAGUCUGACGCAGCGACGCCUCGUGAGGGACGAAGGUCUUCGGAUUGUAAACCUCUUUCAGCAGGGACGAAGCGAAAGUGACGGUACCUGCAGAAGAAGCACCGGCUAACUAUGUGCCAGCAGCCGCGGUAAUACAUAGGGUGCAAGCGUUGUCCGGAUUUAUUGGGCGUAAAGAGUUCGUAGGCGGUUUCUCGCGUCGGAUGUGAAAACUCAGGGCUCAACCCUGAGCCUGCAUUCGAUACGGGGAAACUUGAGGACGGCAGGGGAGACUGGAACUCCUGGUGUAGCGGUGGAAUGCGCAGAUAUCAGGAAGAACACCAAUGGCGAAGGCAGGUCUCUGGGCCGAUUCUGACGCUGAGGAACGAAAGCGUGGGGAGCAAACAGGAUUAGAUACCCUGGUAGUCCACGCCGUAAACGAUGGACGCUAGGUGUGGGGAACAUUCCACGUUCUCUGCGCCGCAGCUAACGCAUUAAGCGUCCCGCCUGGGGAGUACGACCGCAAGGUUAAAACUCAAAUGAAUUGACGGA
rnacentral:rRNA from 1 species